rnacentral:rRNA from 1 species
AUUGAACGCUGGCGGCAUGCCUUACACAUGCAAGUCGAACGGCAGCACGGGAGCAAUCCUGGUGGCGAGUGGCGAACGGGUGAGUAAUAUAUCGGAACGUGCCCAGUCGUGGGGAUAACGUAGCGAAAGCUACGCUAAUACCGCAUACGAUCUAUGGAUGAAAGCGGGGGAUCGCAAGACCUCGCGCGAUUGGAGCGGCCGAUAUCAGAUUAGGUAGUUGGUGAGGUAAAGGCUCACCAAGCCGACGAUCUGUAGCUGGUCUGAGAGGACGACCAGCCACACUGGGACUGAGACACGGCCCAGACUCCUACGGGAGGCAGCAUGGGGAAUUUUGGACAAUGGGCGCAAGCCGUGAAUCCGGCAAUGCCGCGUGCAGGAUGAAGGCCUU